CCAGCAUCUCCCCCUGACACUCCCCGCUGACCGGACGACCUGCACGGCACAAGAUCCCAUCAUUACUGACACAGUCUGCCCCUGAUGACACAAGGGAGAAAAACCGGGGCGAGCCCAAAAAAACCAAACGGCAGACAGACAGCGACGAGGUGGUGGAGAAAGCGGAGCAUUUGGCAGCUGAAGAGCCAGAUAUUUUUCUCUGGAGUUGGUGGAGACCAAAAACAGAGCUAAAGGGAAACCGAAUAUUGGACGGACUUUGAGCAGGUGGACACAAACAUGACUCCAGUGGAUGGAUAUUAUUGCUGUGUGACCGCUCCAUGUGUAAACACUUAAGCUGUAAAUGCCUGACCAGUCAACAGUAAACUGAGAAACUUUAGUUUUAGUGAGGUUUGUUUUGAAUUCCUGCCGCCCCCUACAGGUCAGAAAUUGCUCAUCCACAAAAAUUCCUGUGUGUUGCAAAAAUUCCACAUAGAUCACAAAACGUUAGAUUUAUUUUCAUUUUCAGAUAAUUUUGCACCACAAGUAA